rnacentral:misc_RNA from 1 species
GUGAAUCAUCAAAUUUUUGAACGCAUAUUGCACUCUCUGGUAUUCCGGAGAGUAUGCCUAUUUGAGGGCCAUUUGAAAUAAUAUAAAUUCCAAGAUUUCUCGGAUUUUAAGAUGGGUUGGCUAUUUUUUGUGGUCGCCUAUAAUCCAAGACAAGCUCAAUUUCUUGGGUUGCGUGGUACUUUCAGUUACCUCGUUACUUAACCAGGAAUCAUCGGGCGUGUUAUGAAUUUUGCAAGAGAUAAAAAAUUCCAUAGAUUUAUCUCAUUCGCAAUAGAAAUUGAAUCAGGAUCUCAAAUU